AGAUGCUGAAUAAGACAUGAGAAACAACGUAGUUGAAUGGGGAUUCCUGGAUGUAAUGUCAAAAUUGGUGGAUCUGUGUUGGGCUAUAUUCAUAUGAUCUGUGGUUAGACAAAAGCUGGACAUAUAUUGAGCUUAUGGUUUUUGCCAUGAAGCUGAGCAAGGAAUCUCUGCAGAUGUAUCAAGUUUCGGGUACCCAGCUGAAGCAAGAUUGCUGUCCUAUUUCUGAUUUUCACGCAUUCCUUCGGGUUUGGUGCAUUUUGGUUCAAGAGCAACACCACCUAUGAUCAGAGUACUGUUUCUGGUAUCGUUCAAAGAUGCAGCAAUCAACUGGAUCUCAAGCAGCUAAAUUUGGAGCAGGUAGAAGCCUGUUGAAAGGUCUUCAACUUUCAACAUUGAGGAUUAACAACUUGCUUUGCUUGCACCAGCCAAGAGUACGCCACAGUUUAUGGAGCGGUGCACUGUGCUGAAACAAUGGGCAGAAGUGGUUAUGAAGAUUGGUUGACAGUGCCAUAUCCAGGGCUAUUUACCUGAUACGGAUGGAAGUGCUAUUCAUGUAGCCUCUUCUCUUAGGUACUCAGAGGACUCCUUUCUUCGGAGCAGACAAUGAGCCGUCGUGAGAUAAAAAGAAGCUUUGAGUUCUUCAUCUUUCAUGCAUUCCUCCUCGAUCUUUCCUAGAUGAUGCUUGACUACAAGUUAAUUUAUUUGCCUUAAAAGUUUGCCUGUAGUUGGUGAGAGUCUUCCAAUUUUUUUUUUUUUAUAUUUGCGAGGAGGGAGGGAUACGUAGCAGUGGAGGGUAUGUCUAUGUGGAGGUGCUGGCGUUCUUAUAUUAUUAACCCUAGCUUUGUCUGUACAUAUCAGUUGCCCGCAACGUGAAAUGCUCCUCAUAAAGGCCUUUCAAUGGUAAUCACAAGAUCAUUGAAAUAUCGGCUAUACUUUAUAGCGUGGCUGCUGUUCAACCCUUUGAAUUGUCACAUGUAGAAUAGCAAUUGCAGCCUAUUGUCGAUUACCAGCGAUUUGGAGCAGCACUUGUGCUGAUCCAGUCUUGGCAUGCAGUGGUCCAGAGGCUGAGUUGUU